rnacentral:rRNA from 1 species
AGUGAACGCUGGCGGUAGGCCUAACACAUGCAAGUCGAACGGCAGCACAGAGGAGCUUGCUCCUUGGGUGGCGAGUGGCGGACGGGUGAGGAAUACAUCGGAAUCUACUCUGUCGUGGGGGAUAACGUAGGGAAACUUACGCUAAUACCGCAUACGACCUACGGGUGAAAGCAGGGGAUCUUCGGACCUUGCGCGAUUGAAUGAGCCGAAGUCGGAUUAGCUAGUUGGCGGGGUAAAGGCCCACCAAGGCGACGAUCCGUAGCUGGCUUGAGAGGAUGAUCAGCCACACUGUAACUGAGACACGGUCCAGACUCCUACGGGAGGCAGCAGUGGGGAAUAUUGGACAAUGGGCGCAAGCCUGAUCCAGCCAUACCGCGUGGGUGAAGAAGGCCUUCGGGUUGUAAAGCCCUUUUGUUGGGAAAGAAAUCCAUCUGGCUAAUACCCGGUUGGGAUGACGGUACCCAAAGAAUAAGCACCGGCUAACUUCGUGCCAGCCGCCGCCGUAA